rnacentral:pre_miRNA from 1 species
AGGAGCAACAGCCCCAGGGGCGGGGCCAGCUCUGGAGCCCUGGAGUCAGCUCCGGCAGUAACGCCGGAGCUCUCCGUCUGCAGGGCUUGGAGGCUCCGGGGCGGG